UGGGUGGGGAAGAUGCAGCAGGCCCUCAGGUUCCAAGUCCCACCCAUUCAUUGGCCAACAAAGCCAUCCUGUCAGCUCAUGGAGAAGCCACAGACUGUCCCCUGGGUCACAGGCAGUGCCACAAGGACCUUCCUGACACAAUGUCUUCAGAGACAGUGAGGGCAGGGCCCAUUCCCAGGAGGGAGAUUACUGAGCAAAAGCAAACGAGCCUUUUUCAAGCUACAGAUUCUGAAGCUGCCCUCCAGACACAUCCCUUCAGUCUCCCAGGGUCUCCGCCAACCCAGUCACCUUUGGCUCUGAGGACAUUCUGCAGUGAAAUAGCCAUUUCUUUGAUUUCUCGUAA